rnacentral:lncRNA from 1 species
UGUCUUCAAAUUCAAUUUCUUAGUUUUCUGUUGUUUCGUUCCUCAAUUUGAUGUACUCUACUAAAUCUUCGUCUGAAAAUUCAAUGUGUAUUUCCUUUGAUUGAUUAGUCUAUUUCAAUUCUUAAACUUAAUUUUAUUUCAAUUCUAUUACAGUCAGUUUCUGUAAUUCAUUCCAGUUUAUCCAGUUCUAGUUCAUUGGCUUAGUUUAGUUUUCUAUACUUAGAUUAAAUACCCUUCUUAG